rnacentral:tRNA from 1 species
GGGCCAUUAGCUCAGUUGGCUAGAGCGCGCCCCUGAUAAGGGCGAGGUCCGUGGUUCGAAUCCACGAUGGCCCA